AGUUGCCUCUGACGUCACUCGGAGUGGCGACGUCAGCGUGUUCAGGGAAGACGACGUUCUGUGGUUUGCCGCCACCCAAGCGUCUCCUCUUGCGGGAUUUGUGGAAGAUUCAACACAAUGGCAGCUCUGCUCUUGCGGAAUGCAAUGACCUCUGCAGUCAAGUCAGUCCGGCUCCUGAAUGGCCAUCCAUCCUCCUGCUUCUUCUCUUCUUGGCUACUGGGACGCUCAAAGCUUGUUAGCCCAUUGCUCUGUGCCAUCAAGCCACAGAGCAUGGAUCUGACUCCUGUUUUCACAGGUUGCCCUGCUCUCAACUUUCAACCUGUUGCUGGCAUGAAAACCAAGGGUGUCCUCAAAAGGCGCUGCAAGGACUGCUUCUUUGUCCGCAGGCGUGGGCGCAUGUAUGUAUACUGUAAGACUCACCCUCGGCAUAAGCAGAGGAAGUUGUAACCCUGCUAGUUCAUGGAAUAAAGAAGUUGCACUGCUUCUCACAGAGGAACAUUAUGAUAAAACUUGCCUGGAAAAGACAUUUUCUGUAUAAACCCCAUUAUUAACAAAAUAGAAAUGAAAAAAUCAUUCAGUUUUGAAGUGUUACUUAUUCCAAGAACUGUAUUUUGUAUGUAGUCAGACCUUAUCAGUUACUCUGUUUUCAAAAAACCUUUUAAGGUGCCAUUACCAUAAUCAAAACCAUAUUAGAAACUGUUGCUUAUUCAUCUCAAUGAUCAAGUAAUGUGCUCUGAAUCAACAUUAAAUGAUAUGGUUCAGCGAGAGUUAAACACUUUUUGCCUCCGAAUUUUGGUUCAAGAUCCAAAUGUUCACACCUGUUCCUUUUAAACCAUCUCUGUUAGAUCUGGGCUGUAAUCUUUCUGUUUUAUUUUUAGUAGAAUUGCAAAAAUAGUGCAUCUGAAAUUAACAAUAUGUUAGGAUGAUUGCCCACUAGGCUAUAUAGCGGAUAACUGCUGAGAUUGUGCCGAUGUCACCCUACAAAACCUUAGACUGGUCACACACAAACACCCUGUGUCCCCAAAUCUUCUCUUGAAUUAUUUAGCCUCAGGAGAGUCCUAUAUUUACCCGGAAGUAAACCAUAAAUCAGCUUCCUGUUCACAUACUGUUUAAAUGAAGACCUGCCCUAGGCUUUAAAAAGUUCAGGCCCUCCCCAAAUAACAUGGUGAAAUUGUCCUACCUGCACACAGCAGUGAGGUGUUCUGAAUUUGUAGUCUGAUAGGGCUGCCUGAGACCCUUGAGAUAUACUUUCUCUCACUUGUGUGCCAAGUGCUUUAAAUGCAAGCAUUUUGGAUCAAGAACGCAGAACCAGAGACCAAGUGAAUGUCCAACUAGCCAUUGUACUGGUAGAAGUCAUAAAAGAAAAAAAAAAUCAUGAUGUGCAGGAAAGCAGGUGGAAGAGUUAAUGAAUAGAUGGGGGUCCAUGGUUGUAUGUGAGAGUAGAAAAGGAGGCAUAAAGAGGGAGGGGAAGUGAUAUUUCUACUUUGGUUGUGCCUGCUUCUGUAAGAACAGAAAUGAAGGUCUCCAUGUAAUGUUAACCUCCCCCCCCCCCCUUUAUUACGGUUGUACGUCUUCUAAAUUGCUUGCAACUUUUGCUGAUCUUAAGAAAAACCUAUCCCAGUGGUUUUUAGCUCUUCAUAGAGCUAAGAGGUUCAGACAGGUUUGCGUUUCGUUUCCUCUAAGGCAGAGAGACUGUCUUUCUCAAUGUCACCCAGUAGGUUUCCAUGACCAAGUAGGGAUUUGAACCCUGGUGUCCAAAGUCAUAGGCAUGGCUUGCACUUGCCCAGUAAUCAGGUCUGGGAGUUCGAUCUUGAUACACAGGACAAUUACAAAGAUUCUUUCUAUAUUAAGAUUAUGGCUUUAGAAAAGGAAGAGGUACUUUUAGCAAAGUUUAAUGCCAUUUAUUUCCUAUAACUCCUGAGGCUGAAAAUUGAAAAGUGAUCUGCACACCUUAUCUAUUACCUGGGGGUACCUCCCAUUGAAAUGAGUAGGUUUUACAUUUCAAGUUGAUUGUAUAGCAUUAUAUUUUCAGUGGAGUGAAACACUAUUAAGUGGGAAGGAGGCAGCCGGCAAGAUACAUACAAAUCAUAUGUUAUGUAAUAUUUACAUAAUAAUUUACAUUGUAAGCCUGAGGGAAAAUGUAAAAAAAUUUAAGCCGCUUUGAAUGACUUUGUAGCUGAUGAGUGGGGUUAAAAAUCUCUAAAUCAAUAAAUAAUAAUGAAUGGAUUGACAAAGCAAAAUCCCAAAAUAGUUUGUAUAUAAUAACCUUCAAUAUUGUUUUCCUGUAAUAAUGGGAUUUGGGUUUAUGCUGUUCACCUGCUUGAAGGAGUGAAAUGAACUUUCCAAAAAGAGGUCAGACAUUUUGUUAGAUCAUUAAAAACUAGAAUCUGUCAAGAGUUUAAUCAUUUGCAUCUUUAUAUUGUAUGCUUAUGCAAUCCAAUCAUGGCAAUAAAACCAUAUUUUGUAUUACA